GAUCUCAAAUCAGGUAGGACUACCCGCUGAACUUAAGCAUAUCAAUAAGCGGAGGAAAAGAAACUAACAAGGAUUCCCCUAGUAACUGCGAGUGAAGCGGGAAGAGCUCAAAUUUAAAAUCUGAUGUGCCUCUGGCCAUCCGAGUUGUAGUCUGGAGAAGCGUUUUCCGUGUUGGACCGUGUAUAAGUCUCUUGGAACAGGGCGUCAUAGAGGGUGAGAAUCCCGUCUUUGACACGGACUACCAAUGCUUUGUGAUGCGCUCUCAAAGAGUCGAGUUGUUUGGGAAUGCAGCUCAAAAUGGGUGGUAAAUUCCAUCUAAAGCUAAAUAUAGGCGAGAGACCGAUAGCGAACAAGUACCGUGAGGGAAAGAUGAAAAGCACUUUGGAAAGAGAGUUAAACAGUACGUGAAAUUGCUGAAAGGGAAACGCUUGAAGUCAGUCACGUCUGCCAGGACUCAGCCUUGCUUCUGCUUGGUGUACUUUCUGGUUUGAUGGGCCAACAUCAAUUUUGACCGUUGGAGAAAGGCUUUGGGAAUGUGGCACCUUUUGGUGUGUUAUAGCCCUUUGUCGUAUGCAACGGUUGGGAUUGAGGACUGCAGCACGCCUUCAUGGCCGGGGUCGCCCACGUAC
rnacentral:rRNA from 1 species